rnacentral:ncRNA from 1 species
GAGAGCCGUGUGCAUUGAAAGGUGCAAGCACGGUUCGGGGGGGGGGGAGGCGCUGGGACGUCCUCGAAAGAAGCGUCUCGCGUCUACCCUAC